rnacentral:piRNA from 1 species
UAUAGUCAAAAAUCUUGACUCAGGUUCCAAC